rnacentral:rRNA from 1 species
CUUAUUUUAGAGCUUUACCUUGUAAGUAAAUAAUAAUUACGAAAGCAAAAAAUUAUGGCGGUAUUUUAAGCUUUUCAGAGGAAUUUGCUCUUUAAUGGAUAAAACACCUAAAUCUUACUUAAAUUUGUUAGGUCAAUUUGUAUACCACUAUUAAAUUAAUUAAUAAUUUUAAUUUAUAAAAUUUAUAUAAAUUUAAAAAAAAUUAAGUCAAGGUGCAGUAAAAAUUUAAGAAUGAAGUGAAUUACAAUUCUCUUAAGAGAUUAUUUAAAUUAAAAUUUUAAUUUAGGAUUUGAAAGUAAAAUUAAAAUAGAAUGUUAAUUUGAAUAAAGCUCUAAAAUAUGUACA